rnacentral:rRNA from 1 species
GACUCUCGGCAACGGAUAUCUCGGCUCUUGCAUCGAUGAAGAACGUAGCGAAAUGCGAUACAUGGUGUGAAUUGCAGAAUCCCGUGAACCAUCGAGUCUUUGAACGCAAGUUGCGCCCGAAGCCGUCAGGCCGAGGGCACGCCUGCCUGGGCGUCGCAC